rnacentral:rRNA from 1 species
GACGAACGCUGGCGGCGUGCUUAACACAUGCAAGUCGAACGGAAAGGCCCCUUUGGGGGUCCUCGAGUGGCGCACGGGGGAGUAACACGUGAGUAACCUGCCCUUGACUUCGGGAUAACUUCAGGAAACUGGGGCUAAUACCGGAUAGGAAUCCUUGCUGCAUGGUGGGGGUUGGAAAGCUUCGGCGGUUUUGGAUGGACUCGCGGCUUAUCAGCUUGUUGGUGGGGUAGUGGCUUACCAAGGCUUUGACGGGUAGCCGGCCUGAGAGGGCGACCGGCCACAUUGGGACUGAGAUACGGCCCAGACGCCUACGGGAGGCAGCAGUGGGGAAUAUUGCACAAUGGGCGGAAGCCGGAUGAAGCAACGCCGCGUGCGGGAUGACGGCCUUCGGGUUGUAAACCGCUUUCAGCAGGGGCGAAGCUUGUGGUGACGGUACCUGCAGAAGAAGCACCGGCUAACUACGUG